GUCAGCUCGUGUCGUGAGAUGUUGGUUAAGUCCCGCAACGAGCGCAACCCUCGACCUUAGUUGCCAGCAUUCAGUUGGGCACUCUAAGGUGACUGCCGGCUAAAAGUCGGAGGAAGGUGGGGAUGACGUCAAAUCAUCAUGCCCCUUAUGACCUGGGCUACACACGUGCUACAAUGGGCGGUACAAAGGGUCGCGAACCCGCGAGGGGGAGCCAAUCCCAAAAAAGCCGCUCUCAGUUCGGAUUGCAGGCUGCAACUCGCCUGCAUGAAGCCGGAAUCGCUAGUAAUCGCGGAUCAGCAUGCCGCGGUGAAUACGUUCCCGGGCCUU
rnacentral:rRNA from 1 species